rnacentral:misc_RNA from 1 species
UUAUUGCGUAUUUUUUAUAUGGAAGUCUAUGUGUUUUAAAAUCCGACGACAGUUGAAAAUAAUUUCCAUUACUAUCUUUAUAAUAAUCGCACACAGAUACUUACAGCGUCUUGCAAAUAAUCAGCUGGCCACGCAUACAUGAAUGUGAGGAUGAGACAGAAGACACUAGAGUUAACGAGCUCCAUUUUCGUAGUUAUUGGAGAAUCCUGUUUACAAAUUGAAUCACCGAUUCCUUAUACUAUACAUAAAAUACCAGAAGAUUCACAUACCAUUAUCAUCAAAAUCCCACACAGAGCUAUGCGGCGAACCACAUUAAGAGAGCACCAACCACGCCUAUGCAUAAGUGUGCAGUGACGGUGAGACAUACGCUGCUGUGAU